rnacentral:rRNA from 1 species
GUCCCUACGGGAGGUAGCAGUGGGGAAUAUUGCACAAUGGGGGAAACCCUGAUGCAGCAACGCCGCGUGAGUGAAGGAGGUUUUCGGAUUGUAAAGCUCUGUUAGCAGGGAAGAGGAAGGACGGUACCUGCAGAGGAAGCCACGGCUAACUACGUGCCAGCAGCCGCGGUAAUACGUAGGUGGCAAGCGUUGUUCGGAAUAACUGGGCGUAGAGGAUGCGUAGGCGGUUAAACCAGUUAUAUGUUAAA